AAACAAACCAGGCGUGUCUUUGAAGACGGGGUGCGUUUUUAGUUUAAUAUAUUUUUAUUCAAGUCUGUGAUCUUCUUUAAAUAGUCUCGAGCAGCAGAUAAGCAUGAAAUCUAACGGAUGAUCAGCUUCCCAACUGAAGGGAUCUACCUCUGCGUCUUCCUGCAACAUUGCCUUCCAUACUUAUUCAGUAACAGGUUUGACUGAAUCUUUCUCUGUGUCUCAGAUGAGGAGGAUGUGAAGCUUAGGAUUGGUCAUCACAUCGUCUACACAUCAAUCUACAGACAAACAUCUCAUUUUAAUAAAGAUUUAAUGAUGAAAACCUGAUCAAUGUGUCAAUGUUGUGCCCACUGGUGGAUGAUUUGUGUAUCUGCAUGAAAACAGCAAGAGGACAGAAAGUGAAGAGUGUGUAAUCCUGCAGCUGUAGAGCAGUUUAAGAUCAAGCCUCAUUAAAAACACCUGAAGCUGCUAAUCAAUCAAGCUCAUCAGCACUGAUAGAAAUCUCCUGACUCAACUCUUUUCUUUAUUCAAGUAAAAAUGAAGAUUAAAAAAGUGAUGUAUAAGUUAUUUUCAAUCAAUUACAGGCUGAAA